rnacentral:ncRNA from 1 species
ACCAAGGAGUCUAACAUGUGCGCGAGCCGCGGGGCAGUACGAAACCCGUAAGGCGAAAUGAAGGUGAACGCCGGCGCGGUCCGGCGGAGGUUGGAUCCCGUCCCGUCGGGGCGGGCGCACUACCGGCCGAUCUUCUCCGCCCUGUCGGCGAGGUCGAGCGAGAGCGUGCAAGUCGGGACCCGAAAGAUGGUGAACUAUGCCUGAGGAGGUUGAAGCCAGAGGAAACUCUGGUGGAGGACCGUAGCGAUUCUGACGUGCAAAUCGAUCGUCAAAUUUGGGUAUAGGGGCGAAAGACUAAUCGAACCGUCUAGUAGCUGGUUCCCUUCGAAGUUUCCCUCAGGAUAGCUGGCGCUCUGUCGCAGUUUUAUCUGGUAAAGCGAAUGAUUAGAGGUCUUGGGGGCGAAACGCCCUCAACCUAUUCUCAAACUUUAAAUUGGUAAGAAGCCCGACUCGCUCGUUUGGAGCCGGGCAUGGAAUGCGAGUGCCAAGUGGGCCACUCUUGGUAAGCAGGACUGGCGAUGCGG